AGCGAACGCUGGCGGCAGGCCUAACACAUGCAAGUCGAACGAACCUUUCGGGGUUAGUGGCGGACGGGUGAGUAACACGUGGGAACGUGCCUUUAGGUUCGGAAUAACUCAGGGAAACUUGUGCUAAUACCGAAUGUGCCCUUCGGGGGAAAGAUUAAUCGCCUUUAGAGCGGCCCGCGUCUGAUUAGCUAGUUGGUUGAGGUAAUGGCUCACCAAGGCGACGAUCAGUAGCUGGUCUGAGAGGAUGAUCAGCCACAUUGGGACUGAGACACGGCCCAAACUCCUACGGGAGGCAGCAGUGGGGAAUCUUGCGCAAUGGGCGAAAGCCUGACGCAGCCAUGCCGCGUGAAUGAUGAAGGUCUUAGGAUUGUAAAAUUCUUUCACCGGGGACGAUAAUGACGGUACCCGGAGAAGAAGCCUCGGCUAACUUCGUG
rnacentral:rRNA from 1 species